rnacentral:rRNA from 1 species
AACGAACGCUGGCGGCAUGCCUAACACAUGCAAGUCGAACGAGACCUUCGGGUCUAGUGGCGCACGGGUGCGUAACGCGUGGGAACCUGCCCUUAGGUUCGGAAUAACUCCCCGAAAGGGGUGCUAAUACCGGAUAAUGUCUUCGGACCAAAGAUUUAUCGCCUUUGGAUGGGCCCGCGUUGGAUUAGCUAGUUGGUAGGGUAAAAGCCUACCAAGGCGACGACCCAUAGUUGGUCUGAGAGGAUGAUCAGCCACACUGGGACUGAGACACGGCCCAGACUCCUACGGGAGGCAGCAGUGAGGAAUAUUGGACAAUGGGCGAAAGCCUGAUCCAGCAAUGCCGCGUGAGUGAUGAAGGCCUUAGGGUUGUAAAGCUCUUUUACCCGGGAUGAUAAUGACAGUACCGGGAGAAUAAGCUCCGGCUAACUCCGUG